GAUACCAGAUGUUACAGAGUUAGCAAAUUGUAAUCCUAAUGGGUUACCCAUUGCGAAUACGCUAUCGCC
rnacentral:sRNA from 1 species